AUAUCAAUAAUCUUAUGAACUCGAGUGUAUGAGUGGAUGUGGUUGUAAAAUUACAAAGUCAAUGCAGAGAUCUACUGGGUAAGGAAAAUGGUAGUUGGAUUUUUGGAAGGCUGAUUGACUUGAGGCUGGAAAUGGGAGUGUUUUGUUUUUCUUUUCUCUCUUUGGUCCUCCCAUGCCAUUUCCCAAAUGCUAUCUCAUGAGUGGGGGGAUUAAUAAAAAAUACUUUUCACUGGAAAUCUCUUACCACCUAUAGGUUUAUAGGUAUAGUCUUUUUUUUUAAUUAAAAAAGUCAUGGACUUUUAUUAUCAUUCACAUACUUCACAGAAAAGGAAAUGUAGCAAAUGGGUCAGAGUUGUAUAAAAAGACAUCUGGGAACAGGACGGUCCUGAUAUCCAGCACAGCUGCACUGUCCCAUGCCCCUUUGCAGAUGAGGUCCUGGGCACACUUGGCACAGCCCACAGAGCAGCAGGAGCAGCAGCUCUUCUUGCAGAAGGUGCAUUUGCAUUUUUUGCAUUUUCAGGAUCCAGCACAGGUGCAGGAGCCACCAGUGGUCAGGAACAGCUGCAGUUCGUUUGGACCAAGAUAAAGCCUCCAGCAAGUCUUUGGAAUCUCUGGGGUUUCUAAGGGAAGUCAUUGGAAUUUCCUGUGUCUGGUGAACAAGAAGGAUGGUCAACUCAGGAGCUGACCUCGGCCUCCUCCUAUGCCAUGUCACAGAAACAGCAGGCCCACUGAGGGGGAUGGCAGUAGUGUGACUGUUGGAGAUGGGAUGCUAAGUGAUGUUGCCUUGCAAGUUUGCUUCCAGUCUGUUCUCCAAAUCCAUUCUAAGCCCGACUUUGACUUCCUUGCCUUGGGGAAGCUUGCGGAUGGACCAGAAGAUGCAAUAUUAGAAGCAGCUCUCUGA
rnacentral:lncRNA from 1 species